CAUAAACAAAGAAAAUCAUAGUAUAACCAGAAAACAUAAAUCAAUCACUAAAUUUCAAAGAGAAGAGAGAAAGAAAGAGAGUAAAAAUGUACUCAGAUCAGCCACCUCCAGCUCAAGAAAUAACAUACGUAGAUCAUGUUAAGCGACGCCAUGAAGAGAAAGGAUGCAUCUAUGCAACUUGUUUUGCGUUAUGCUGCUGCUUCUGCUGUUACGAAACCUGUGAAUGCUGCUUUGAUAUCCUCUGCUGUUGCUGUUAAGCACGAGCCUUAGUUUCAGAAAGAAACUAUCUGUACUAUCGUUAUAUUGUACAGUACUGCUUUAUGUGUAUGAGCUUGUAUUUGGAUUGAGCUGGGUUUGCAUCAUAUUUAUGUCGAGUUUAGCUUCUAGCUGUCGCUUUGAAUUCAUAAAGUUCUGUAUUAUUUCAGCAAGAAGUUCAUGUAAUACUAGUACGGCUGUAAUUGAUUGGGUUUUUUAAUUUGUAAUGUACUUUAUACAAAGUAACAGAGAUUCAAGAUUGAA